rnacentral:rRNA from 1 species
AGCGAACGUAUCACUUAAAGCGAUUCAGCGGGUUACGAUUGACGGAGCGAAGCGACGUCAAAGCGUAUACAAAGUCGAGUCGGUUUAAGGAUACGUUCGUUGGGUAGGGGAGCGUUCUGUAAGCCUGUGAAGGUGUGUCGUGAGGCAUGCUGGAGGUAUCAGAAGUGCGAAUGCUGACAUAAGUAACGAUAAAGCGGGUGAAAAGCCCGCUCGCCGGAAGACCAAGGGUUCCUGUCCAACGUUAAUCGGGGCAGGGUGAGUCGACCCCUAAGGC